AGCCUCUCAAGACUAACCCAAGCCCAAUUUUCUUUUGACUUUGGCAAAUUAGCCCCAAAUUUCCAUCAGCACCACCUCAGGAUCAAUAUUUUUCAACACCAGCCCAACAACAAGGCAAUUUCAGCCCACAACCAAUCCAAUCAACAAUUUAAACCCUAACCGGCUCACACCCCUAUCCUCUUAAGCAGCUUCUACGACACCAAUAUCAACCUCAGUCAAAAGCGCGUACAACUCAAACCCCAGCAAUGACAACUCCUCAUCAGCUUACAACCAACACCAGCCUCAUCGACGUACAACAUAACCAACAGCACGUACAGCUUCGAAAAAACACCAAACAUCAACCCGAUUCCCCUAGUUCUCGAUCCAAAUUCGUCAACCCACAACCAACCCAUCAUUUUUCUCUUCGUCACGCAUCUCACGCAUCGGUGAGACAAGCAAAAAAUGUUCGAAUCUUCUAGAAACAAGGUUAGGUGUCGUCUCCAAUGGUUAGCUCCGCGAAUCUCGGGACAAGGGUACGAUUUCGUACAUAUUUGGUAGGUUUCUAUUGGUUCUUAGAGAAAAUUCAUUUGGCCUAAAUCUUAUUGGUCCACCAAUUUAGAAAUGGGUACAACUUGUUGAGGGGAAUCCGAGGGUGAGGGGGAAAAUUUUUAAUUCCUUUUGGAAAAGGACCUUAGCCUAUUUCUCUAUAUAAAGGCUGAUUGGGGCUAGAUGGGGGAGAAAUUUUUUGGGGGAGAGAAACUGAAUUUUGCAAAAAUAAAGGAGAUUUUAGGGAUUGGAAAUUCUGGGGUUCGAAAGUGAGUUUUUCAAAAAACUAAAGGGAAAAUUCUGGGUUCAAAAUUUAGGUUGGAAAUUCUUGGUUUAGAAAUUUUAGUGUGAAAAAACAAAUGUUCCUGAGAAAAGCUAAGUUCGAAAACUAGGGGAAAAGUUUUGGAAGAAAAGAAACAUAGCAUAUUUUAGUAUAAGUUCUUCGGUCGACCAUUGCUCGGCGCUUUUCGGAGUCGAGGCGUUGAAUUUUCUGGUGGUGGAGGAGUCCAACGUCAGCUCAUAGCCCUGUUUUGCUGCUCCGAAACAGGUAAUACGUUGUCUUUUUUAGCUUUGAACAUUUUCUUCUUUUUCUAGUCAAUUCUUUUUUUUUUAGCAUUUAGCCGUAUAGUUGUGAUAUUCGUUGUAAUCGUGGUGAUGGUCGUAAGUGCUGGGAAUUUGUCUGCUGUAGAGGCCUUAAAGGCUAUAAGUUUCUCUGAAUGAAGCAAGUGUUGGAUUAUUGUUAUGUGGGAUUAAUGCUUGUUUUGAGGCGUUUGGUGGGCGAUAUGUGUUAUUUCUGCCUCGACGUCAAUUUUGUCAUUUAAUCUUGAUAUUGUUAGCUACUGCCUGUGUCUUGAAUGCUAGUAUAGUGCCUAAAUUUUCAUACUUUGAUUUUGUUGAGUAGUUUUGGGCUUGUAUGUUGUUAUGGUUGGCUUCACGGUUUAAAGUUGCGUGCUUUGAUCGUUCGAGUUGAUGGUGCCCUGUUCUAGCUGAUCUUAUGUUGAAGUUUCUUAUUUUGUUAGUUUCGGAUUGAUGGUGCCUUGGUAUACUGGUUUCGUAGUUAAAGCUUUUUGCUUGGAUCUUGGUUAAUAGAUUCGGGCGGAGGGUGUUUUAUGCUUAUUUGACGUCGUCUUGUUUGUCGUCAUUAGUUGAUGUUGUUGAGCUGAUAACAUCAUUAACCGUAUAUUCUCUUGAGUUCUUUGGCUUCUCAAAUGAUGAAGAAUAACGAGGAAUAACCAUCUUUUUGUACGUGAAUAUCGACCUUGUUUUCGCAAUAAGUUUUUUCUUAGAAAAUAAGUUGCGUCUCUUGUUAAACGAGCUACUUUCUUUCCAGUUUUCUGUUAAUCUCUUGAUAUAGAAGCUCUAAUCUGGUUAUGUCAAAAUUGUCCUCGCAUUACUUAUUAAUUAUCGUCCUCGCUAAGGAUAGAUAUAAGUGCACUUUUUUGAUUUAGAAUCACCGGCAUAGUUGUUUCCGUCCCUAAAAGGUUCACUUUUUCUUGGUCCAAAAUUGCUAGAUAAAAUUUGUAAUUCAACAAGUUCUUGAUUGGGUAAAUCUGAGUUUGCUGAAGAGCAGAUUUUUUUUUUUUAGUGCAGGCAUGAAAUUCUUUUGCUAUGAUAUUUCUUUACCUAUACUUCUUUGCUUGGGUAUGAAUAUGCUGCCUGCUUUGCUUUUUUUUUUUUUUUUCUUUUUUUGUAUAAAUAACCCUUUUUUCUCAACCUUACCUCUUAAAAGGAAUUGGACUUAAAAAUUCAAGUUAUCUAGCUUAUGGAUUCGUAUUAAGUUGAUUAGUUAAAUAAGUAACGUAUUGACGCAUCUAAUUUGGGUUCUCUUUAAUUUUGAUUGCUAAUGUUUGAGAUAUGAAAGUAAUUAUUCUUGAAAUUUCCAAGUGGUCUAUGGCUGUGGUUGCUGUUGUAGAAGUUUUGCUUGAAACAUUUAAGCUGCCAUAUUGAUGAAUCUCUGUCUCAACUCUCGGAAGGAUCUUGAUUUGCUUUUGUUCAGUUUAAAUCUUCACUUUCUUUGUCAUGUAUAAUCAGGUUCUUUGACAAUCUCGUCUUUAUAGGCUAUAUUGAUAUCGUCAGGUGUUAAAAUAAUAAUAAUAAAUAAUAUUCUUUUGUUGUUUUGUUUUCUAUUUACUUCUUUAAGAAUCGGUUUACAUCCUUUAGCUUUGUACUAAUGAUCUGCAUUUUCAAUUUUUAACCCACUGUCUUCUAUCCCUAUCAUGGAUUAUAAUGAUUUCCUUUUCAUAUUUUAUACAUUGUCUUUCAUACGUCGUUUGUAUGUUGAAUGCAUAUUAAUUUCCUUUUACUUCUUCCUUUUGCAUGUGAAUUUGUUGGAGUCCAAAUGGACUCUUUGCAUUCCCUAAUGGGCCAAUCAGGUCCAUCCGUUGAGUCAUGCCCGGAAGUGAGUCUAAGGUUGCAUAGUGUGCGAAUGCAAGGAGUCGAAAGAAAAAGAAUGGGUUAAGAUCCCAUUUUUGAAGCGGAAACGAGACUAGAAAGUCUCAAUUUAUUUACUUAUUGAGUUAUUGUUGCCUUUAUUCAUUUUUUUAGUUCAUUCAUUCGGGCCAAGAAGCCAAAGGUGUAAAUUUAAUACAGGUGGAGCGGAUUUUGGGCCAAAAGGCUCGAAAGCUAGAUUAGGAGAGGUGAAAUGAGUCGAAGGCUCAAUUAGACUAGGACAAGUUUUGUUGGUUUGGGCCAAUGGCCUAAAUCCCUUACUUCCUCCCCUUCUCCCUGUUCUUUAUGUUUGUUUUCCUUAUGUGCUUUGCGAACCUAGUUAGUUCCUUAGUCAAGUCGCUAAAAAACAAGUUUUGCCUAAACACCAAAAUAUUUCUAAAUUGCUUUCUUUCAAAAAAUAAACUUUUUCAAAGUUAGUCAAAUAUGAUUUUCAAACAGCCCGGAUAACUGCAAGUUAGAGGACGUUUUAGGUGCCUAACACCUUCGUAAAACGUUAAUAGGAAUCGUUUACUCAAAAUAUUCAAAACUUAAAUGAUUUUCCUAUUUUGAAUUGUUUGAAGUAUCUCUCUAAAGGUUUCUUAACUCUUUUUCAAAAUUAAGUGGCGAUUCUUCUCAAAAAGUCAAAAUUUCUCCGCAAAACAAACAUUUGAUCAUGAAAUAAGAAAAUUACUUUAUUUAUAAAUUUUAAAAUUGAAGUUGGUGCGUUGGCCAUACUUUUUGUAAUAAUAAAGAUAAAGAACUCGUUUGUCUAUAAAUAGUAUUCAUUAUAUUUCAGAAUACGUUUUUAUUUAUUUUGGAAUACUUAUUUGGUCAUAAAUAAAUCAAAUAUAAAUUGAAAUUGUAUCUGAAAAUUUGAAAAACAUCUCAAUUUUUUUUCACUAUUUUUGAUUGCACUUUUUGUACUUAUUGCUUUAUUUAUAAAAAAAAAUAUUUUCAUAAAAUAACUUCAGUUUCAUAGAAUUUCAUUUUUAAAUUUAUUUUCACUUUUUAUAUUUUUUUUCACAAAUAUAAUUCAACUCUAUUUUCUACUUUAAAAAUUUCAAAUAAAGUGAAUAUAUUUUUAAUUUUUCAUGGUCAAACGCCUAUUUAAAAUUGAAAGUUAGAUGUAAAAAUAAUUUUUUUAAGAUAAAUUUCAAUUACUGGUUAUUCAACUUUGGAUUCAUCAAAAAUAAUUUUCACUUUUUUAUUACAUAUAAGUUUUCUAACUUAAAAUUUUAUUACAUAUAAAUAUUAUUUUACCACAUAGAAUGUGUUUGGUAAUGAGGUCUUUCGAUGAAUGAAACAUUAAAAUAAAGAAGUAACAAAUUUGUUCGAGUAAGUAAAUCAAAAAUUUAAUUAAACCAAAAUCUGAAUAUACUCCAAAGCAACUAUACCAAAAAAAAAAAUGUAAGAAAGGAAAGAAAUAGAGAGAAAAAUAGGUCAUCUAAGACUUUGAUUUCUUUUUAUCACUGUGAAACCCACUAUUCCUACUUAGCAAAAUUUGAAAGGAUCUUCACACAACUUUUGUCUGUCAUGUAAUACUUGAGCCUCUCAUAAAUUAAAAUUUUUCGGACAAUACAAUUAUUAAAAAAUAUUUUUUCCAUUUGAAUUUACUUGUCACAUUUUUAUUUGAUAUAUCGAUUAAGAAAAUAAUGAUUGUUAUAGUGACUUUAUAAUAUUAUUCAUAUUGAUUGAUAUUUAAUACUCCGUUUGUUUGCUUUUACUUGUUAUUUUUUUAUAUGUCACAUCCAUUAAAAAUAAUUAUUCAUAUGACUAUUUUAUCAUAGUAUGUAUAUUAAUUGAUGUUUAAAGUAAUGUCUUGAAAAUUGUUUGGAGAAUAAAUAAUUAAUGAUGAGGGUAAAAAAAAAAUAUCUUUUAUUUUUUCUUGAUAUGUUAAAAGUAACAAGUAAAAAUCAAAAUUCAAUGAGAAAAAUAGUGACAAGUAAAAGCGAAUGGAGGGAGUAAUAGGUAUUGAAAAAUGAUUCGAAAAAGACUCAAAAAUACCUCUGAACUAUUCAAAUAGCUCAAAAAUGCCCUUCGUUGAAUUUUUGGCUCAAAAAUACCCCUCCGUUAAAUAUUUGGCUAAAAAAUACUCCUCCCUCUAACGGAAUUCGAAAAAGAAUCAAAAAUACCCCUGAACUAUCUGAAAUGGGUCAAAAAUACCCCUCUGUUAAAUAUUUGGCUCAAAAAUACCUCUCCCUUAACGAAAUUAAAUUGUUCCGAUUAUUUCAUUAACUUAUAUAAAGUUCAUCAUUUAACUUAUAUUUCAUUAAUUUCUUUAAGUGAAAAUUUAUAUUUCAUUAAUUUCGUUAAUUUAUAUUUCAUUAAUUUCUUUAAAGAUUAAAAAGAUAUAAAGUGAAAAUACCUUUUUAGAAUAAAUGUAUGUUUAUUUUCCAAAUCAAAUUCAAUCAAUUUAUAUUAUAAUUCAAAUACUUUUUUUCAUUAUCUUAUUUUUAAAAUUAAAAAAAUACUUUUAUGUAAAAAAAUUAAAGUAUUAGGGUUAAAAAGUUAAAGUUAGGGUUUAAUUCAAUCGAAAUAAUUUAAUUUCGUUAAGGGGAGGGGUAUUUUUGAGCCAAAUAUUUAACAGAGGGGUAUUUUUGACCCAUUUCAGAUAGUUCAGGGGUAUUUUUGAUCCUUUUCCGAAUUCCGUUAGAGGGAGGGGUAUUUUUGAGCCAAAUAUUUAACGGAGGGGUAUUUUUUAGUCAAAAAUCUAACGAGGGGCAUUUUUGAGCUAUUUCAUAUAGUUCAGGAGUAUUUUUGAGCCUUUUCCGAAAAUGAUUUGAAGAAUACGUUAUUAAUGUUAAGAGUAAAACAUGAAAAAUAAUUUUGAUUCGUAAAAAUAGAGAGGUUUAAACAUUAAGAGUUGCAGCAAGUGGAACAUAGCAGGAGUUGGGAAGUUACUAUAUGGUUAUUAGCCAGGAAGGAGGAUUUAUUAUGGGUA
rnacentral:lncRNA from 1 species